CCGCCGCCGCUCUCGUCGUGUCUACUCCCAUCGUCGCAGAGCUCUCUCCGCUGCCGCUCGCAUUGCAUCUGCUCCCUCUGGCGCCUCUUCCAUCUAAUCUCAACAACUUGCUCUCUCAGUUCUUCUCGUAACCAUCUUGAAUUUCAGGGUUGUUGAAUAUCAAGUUAAAUCUACAGCACAACAUUUGAUUAAGGAACCGUUGUCUAUUGAUUCUUGCAACUGCAAUUUCCCUCUAUGCCAAUGCUCUUCUUGCUAAGCUCCAUGAAUUUGGUGGAACAAGGCAUAUUAGAUACAGAGAUUUAGCUGGCUUUAUCUAUGGUAGAAAAGCAUAUUCUCUCACAUGGGCCCUGCAGUAUAUCAACCUUUUCAUGAUAAAUGCUGGCUAUAUUAUCUUGGCUGGUUCUGCUUUAAAGGUACUACAAUUAUAGUUAUUUUGUUUUUCUUCUCUUAUUUACAUGCAAAAAGGAAAUGACAAUCUUUUUGUGUGCAAGCAGAGAAAGAGACCAAGGAUACUGCUGAUUAUUCUGUAGCAAAGCAUUACCGUAUGGAGUUACUCAUGCAGCAAAGUGUAAGUACCGUUGG